UUUAUUUCAAAAUUAGAAUUCUGUCAAUUUAGUAUCAAAGUCAUAUUUUUUAAGCCAAAUCCCUAUAACAUUCUAGUGACUCUCAUAACUACGAUAGCUCUUAAAGAUGGUAAGAAUAAUACUGUCAGCAUGUUAAAGAAAAUUAUGUGAAAUAGAAAUAUAACAUCUUCCUCAAGUUGGGUUAAAAUAUAAUUCUUAUACACCAC
rnacentral:lncRNA from 1 species